GCCAUUUCCGCGCUGGCUCUUCGGGUCGCAACCGCACGAUUCCAACUUGCCCUGGCCGCAAGCCUUUGAUACGGAAUGAGCCACUCCAGCGGAGGAAACGGCGUACGCGAACGCUGUUUCCCGAUAACCUAAAUGUUGGACAUUCGCUGGAUGUUGAGGUGACAUCCUUAUCGGAUUGAACGUUUGUACGGUGAUGAUAUCUUUGGGCCCACUAAGCCGCAAAGGAGAUGGACAAGACCACAAAAAAAAAAAAAAAUGGAAUAACAUCUGGAUGGGAAAAUAGCUGUGUUAAAUCUCAGUGUAAAAGAUCCACGAACAUUUUUUUUUUUACUCGCUUGAAGAAGCAACUCACUAUAGCAAAAAUAACGAAGCUUUUGGAGUGCGCCAUUGUCCGUUUAUAACUUGACAUUUACCACACAAGAAGCUCUAGCCGCUUGUAUAGGCGGAUAAAAUGCAGCCCCGGAUGAUUACACGUUACAACGCACAUUGAUCCCCAUGUUAUUCACCUUCAUUUCUGCGCUACGGUAUAAGAAGGGAAGCUGAAAUAAGAUGCGCAAUCACUUUUCAAGGUUCAACCGUGGCAUGUUCAAAACCUUCAAGCACGACAACGUCUAGAAGCCAUUUCUAGACGUAGUUUUAAAAAUGGCUUACUUGGCAUAUCCGUUUCUGGAAAAACAGGCCAUUUAAAAUUAUCAAUGAUUAGCGUGACUACACAGCCGAUUUUCAAAAUUCCGCUGAGAGGAUAGGAGGAUGAAAUGAGACCCAGACCGGAGUCGGUAUUAUCAAGCGUGAUUUACAAAAUUCCACGAAAAUAUCGUUGCCUUUUAGUUUUUUUUCUUUUUCUUUUUAGGGUUCUUCUACAUACAUUGGGACGCAAUAACUAAUUUAUACAUAACACCGUAGCCGUGGCCCUUUCCCCCCACCAUCAGCCAGAUGAAGGCCUCAUGUGUAUGCGGAUGAUGAUGAUGCUAAUCGCGAGACUACCCAAAGAAAUGCAAAGAUGAAAACAGCAGCAGGUCGCGGUUCGUUCCCGAAAGAAAAAAAAUGUAUAAAUAUUUCUUUCUAAGACAACAUUUUUUUUUCGGCUUCAUCAUGCUCUUAUUGAUCGAUUGUGCUCUGUCUUUUCUCUCACUCGAAUCUUAAUCGACCGACGUGGGCCCCCGUGUAGCUUUUUUUUCAUUUUCCGCUUUUGUGUGUGUGUGUUGCUGCUUUUUUCUUAGACUCAUUCUUCUUUGAUCCCCUUCUUUUCUUCUAUUUCUGACCCCUCUGUUGAGUGUAUUAUCCAGAUCAUCAGAGCCAGUUUGAAUGGUCAGACCACCCAGCCGAACAUGCAUCCGUAUCUGCCACGACGUGCACACAAAAGAAAUAACAUCCUCGAAAGAACGGACUUCCAUGUUAUUCUUGAUUUCGUUUUUGGCUUUUGUUCCUAUUUUCUUUUAUCCUUAUUCUUUCCCCCCUCCAUUUCUGACUAUUGUACGUGUUGCGAGAGUUCCAGGUGGACCCCGCUAGUCAAAUUCUGAUGUCCGAGAAAAGCGCAUCACGUCAUAAAAAUAAAGAAGACAUCCAUUAUAGACUAGCGCAAGAAGAUAAAGAUGGCAAUAUAAUUAAUGGACUUGGCAAACCCGAAGCCGUUCCGCUACUAGUUCAUUGAGAACGAUCUGUCAAGAUCUGCAUAUUUUUCUCUCUCUGAAAAAAAAAAAUGCGCCGAUUGCAUCCAUCAUUGAAUCGCAAGGGCUUUCAUUAUAGAAACACGACCGCUGAGCGCGUUUGCUAACGUCGACAAGAGGCUACCAGUCCUAGUCAGCAUAGAUUACGUCUGUCCACCACAUGAGACGAACAAGACCUUAUCCAAACAAAAAAAAAAAAUAAUAAUGCUCUAUUCUAAAGAAACAUAAAUUUGGAUAUGUCCGGUGGAUGCGAGGAAGGAAAGGCAAAAUGCGAGAGAUAGCCAUGAGAAUUGAGACAUGACCACGUAGAAAAAGAAAACGAAAGCUUCUGAGCUUUACGCAGAUGUCACUCUCUUUUCGGAGUAGCCUCUCACAUCUCUCAUGAAAAACGUAGAAACCGUUACCAGCUGACGAAUCUCUAAUUGUGUGUUAGCUAGCGACGUGAGUCAAUCGAUUCGACACGGUCGGGACCCUUUUUGCCAGCUGAAAUCUGUGCGGUGUUGAGCUUCUCUUGUGUGGCGUUUACAUGAAACGUUUACAUUAUAAAUACACAUAGAACUCGAAAAAAAAAAAAAGGAUGAAAAGCCCUCGACUACCAAUACAAGUAGGCAUUUCUCAAACGUCUUAGCUCUAUCUGGUUUAAUAAGCGACAUUCUUCGGAGACAGAGAAAGAAAGGUGGCACAUGCAACAAGCUGCUGCUUACUAUCGCGUCACGUUCACAUACAGCCAUUUCAAUGGUCCAGGACGAGGGGGGGCUACAAUAGACACGGACCUCUUGGUUACAUUCAGAAGAAACAGAGAGAAGAAAACCAGUCUGGGGGGUUUCUUGUCAAAAGCGAACCAAGCGCGUCCAUUCAUCCCGAUGAAAUACUUUUUUGUAUGUGUGUGUGUAUGUUGCUCUUGUGCGUCUUGUUGAUGUGAAGAAAUCGUCUGCGUCCCCCCUCUACCUUUAACCAAAAAAAAAAAGCCAAGGAAAACUUGCUCGCUCACUGAUGAUUGUCUGCCAUGACGCUUUAGGGUUUCCUUUCUCUCUCUCUUGUUUGAUAACCAUCGCUUUUGUGUGUGUGUGUGUGUGUUGUUUUCUUCGUUAUUUGGUUGACGUCUUGUUCUUCCUUUCAUCGAUAAUAGUAACAGCUUGGGGGGUUCAACGCAUUGUUCGAUGCUUACGAAAUAUCCAAUUGCCAUCGUAGCACAACGUUUCGAAGGCGAGAUCCAUCAGUAAAUGGAAAAGAAUGAGGCGGAAUCGGAUUAUUACAACCAAGGCUAUAUCGCUGAUGGCUUAUCAUCUUCUCUCCGCACAUUGGCUUGCAUAUCGAGUAACCGGUAAUGGCUUUUUAUGUACAAAUUAUUUUUUUGUUUUAGUUCUUAAAAUACAGA